UUUAAUGAGUACAACAAAACAGAGAAUUCAAUUGCCAACAGAUACUUUAGGAUACUAGAACAAAAUUCAAAGCAAGCUUUAUCAAUUAUACAGUAUUUUAACAUUUUAUGUAAGAAUUAAAAAUAGUAUAAUGGGAAGAAAAACAAAUUUUAGUUCUACAUUGAGUAAUAUGAAACAUAUUUGUUUUUCAAAUUCAUCUUAUUCCGAAUUUUUGAAACAUGUUGAAUUAAUUCAUAUUUUCAUUAAAUAUACACGUUCUUGCUCAUAUCUGUGCAUAUAUUAACGCUUAUUCAAUACAUGGCUUAAUAAUGUUCGAUUUCGAAAGUGACAGUAUCUUGUUAGUAAGUUAAUAAACCUAGCACAAAAGUACAAGUGUUCGCGUCACAAGUCACGAGACUAUCUCCAUCCACAUGAUAUUAUCACACGUUAAUACGAAUCGUGAAUAAUUACAUCAAGUUAUCUUGCUUAAAUUUAUUUGCAUUCUAUGCUUGAGUAGCAAGCAUGUGAUAUUUGCGUUAGAGUUACGCAGGCCCUGGUGCAUAUGUAAGUCUGUCGAAUAAGUUGUUCACCGAGAACUCGUGGAAAUGCCAGUGCUUUCUACGAGUCGGUUUUAAAAGAUAUACAACCGACGAAAAUUAAGGAAUAUAUUCCAUUUCUUGUCUACAAUUAGUUUAUUUUUUACUUAUUAUCUAAGUUUUUUUUUUAGGAAAAAGAAGAUUUCAAACCAUUCUAACUUUUCAGAAUGAAUUUAGAAUUCUUAUUUCUCUUGCCAUUGUCCAUAUUUGUAACAUCGUAUGUUUACUAUUUGAUAUUUUGAGAUCUAAUUUAAAGUAAGACAGAAAACCAUGCCCCGAAUGCAAUAUCGGAUCCUGAAAUUACGUGCACUCGAACAUUUUUAUGUGUCAGGCAAACUUUCAGAAUCCCAUCCGACCAGACCACAGCCUCAGGUAUCCGCACAUCCCUACUAUUUUCAUAUUAACGCAUAUCACAAUAAUUUUAUAUUUCGAACAUUCAAAUAAUGAAACGUUCGAAUAGUGGAACGUAUAGCAAAUGGACAGUAGAUGCUCGGAUAUUGAAAGUUCUAUAUUUAUUUUCUUUAGUUUUAUAUUUACAUAUCUAAUUAAAUCAUUUCUCACUCUGAUCAUCAUGAAAUUAUUCAACAAACCCCGCGUGUUACUCAAUCCUAAGUCGUUACACAAAGGUUUAUCAAUUGUCACAAGAAUCUCGAUGUGUACAUAGAUUUUUCAACACGCAACUCUCACGUCAUGCCCGUUAGUUUUAUGGCACAAUAUGCGAUUUCUGUGUGUCGUACGUAAUUCAUACGUACUACUGUUGAAUUAUCGAGAAUAAUUCGAUACUGACGUCAGCAGCGCGUUUGCAUUAAAAAUUCCGAGGCUGCGUGAUUCCUGGUUCGAACGAUGUUGUUUAAACAAUUGCUCGCCGUGAACGAUAACGAUAACACGAUCGACGCGACUGAUUAACAACGUGUAAACUAAUUAUUCCUCUGAGAAAUAAGGAAGCAGGUGUUGGCUGCGCUCGAAAAUUAUGUUAUUUUUGAUAUUAUGAUGAAACGAUGACAGUUGCUUCGUACGCGUAGCAUAUCGUGUCAAACAAUGGAAAACACGUUUGUUAUUGAAAAUAUUUCCUCUAUUUAAUCUGUUAUACCAAGCGAAUUUUUAUGCACUACACAUAAUUAUCAGGA